ACUCUAGUCUGACUUUGUGAAGAGACAUGAGAGGUGUAGCAUAAGUGGGAGCCAAGGGAUCAAUCUUGGCUGUUACUUCGGUGGCAGUUAAGACCCCUUGGCUACAGUGAAAUACCACUACUCUCAUAGUUUCUUUACUUACACGGUUAAAGGGAAGUUGGGAUAGUGUCUCUCUCACUUGGGUUUACCUCAGGGUUCGGGAAGGCCUCCUAUCCUUAAAUUCUAGAGCAAAGU
rnacentral:ncRNA from 1 species